rnacentral:rRNA from 1 species
GAUGAACGCUGACAGAAUGCUUAAUACAUGCAAGUCAACUGUGGCGGACGGGUGAUUAACGCGUAAAGAACUUGCCUCACAGGUCGGGCCAACAUUUGGAAACUAAUGCUAAUACCUAAUAAGGUGAGAUGGCUUUUCGUCCCAUUAGCUAGUUGGAGAGGUAACGGCUCACCAAGGCGAUGAUGGGUAGCCGGCCUGAGAGGGUGAUCGGCAACAAGGGGACGGAGGCACGGCCAUUAGUCAAACGGCAGGCAGCAGUGGGGAAUAUUGGACACUGGACCAAAGUCUGAUCCAGGAAUUCUGUGUGCACGAUGAAGUUUUCGGAAUGUAAAGUGCUUUCAGUUGGUAAGCGGUACCAACAGAAGAAGUGACGGCUAACGACGUGCCAGCAGCCGCGGUAAUAC